GACAAAUCCCAACGGUAUUUUAUAAUACGGAGCGAAUUAUUACAUUUUCACAUCAAAACCAUGACGAACCGAAUUUUUGUACUUGCUGACAAGCGCGUCAGACGCGUCCUCGAUCGCCUCGAAAAUAUUAUGGUGAGGAAAGAUAUUGAGAUGAGAAGAAAGGAAAAAAUUAUUUUGAGAGGAGAGAAAGCUAAAAGAGCUCAAACGAGAUGGAAGGCCGAGAAUUUCAGAUAGGCCAGCAAACAAGAUGCAGAGGAACACUAACUUUACUGCGAGGAUUUCCUCUUCCUGCUCACUGGACGGAGCGACUCGUGUUGUGGGAGAGUUGCAAUCAAAUGCGUCUGUGCAACAGACUUGAGGCUCUCCAAGGGAUUGCGGAUGGCCUCGUGGUGUCUCCUCAGCUCGUUGAAGCGGGCGUGAAUGCUCUCACUCCCUUGCUCUGCGAGGAGACCAAGACCAACGCCUCGCCGCCGGAUGGACGGCACGACAUGCACCUCCAACAUGUGCAAUUUCGGCGUGAUGUGGCCGAGCUUCUUGCUGACGACCCUAUCUCGGCAUGCAGCCAUAAAUGUUUCCACCAAGCCUUCUAGCUUGGAUAUGGUGGCCUCGUCCAUAGGCCUGCAGUGGCUGAAGAGAGCAGUGCACUCGCCAUACAGGGACAUAAGGCGCUGGUAAUCCUCAUGAAUUCGAUUUGCCUCUGGGAGCAGCAGUGGCGCACGAGAAGCUACUGCAGAUAAAUGUGCUGUGGUUAUUUCAGUUGUCACUGCUGGCUGAAGAGCUAUGUGCACAUGGUUGCCCACAAAAGCACCUCCAUGGUAUGCUUGCCUAUCGAUUCCAUUGCGCUGGAAAACUGGCUCGAUGCUUGCUCAACAUGGCCCCUCACACUUUUUGUUCUGUUUUAUUGCGGCCAUUUGGUCGGUGAGUGACUGUCUCCGCGCAAGCAAUGCAGUGCGGCGUGCAUCACCAUUCUUCCACUGGUCUUGUAGGUGUUGUGUCACGCUCUCCACUGUGGCAGCAUGUAUCAAGCUGAGAAAAGAGAACAAUGUACUGGACUUGCUGCUGCACUAAAUGUAGUUGUUGGGUAACUGCAGAAAUCUCCUCAUCCGUUUUGCUGGCUUCCGCAUGCAGUGACAAAAGCUUUUCAAAGCUUCCAGCAUCACCAGCUACUGCUGUAGCAGCAAUGGCUGCAAGGAUGACAGUGGCAGCAGGAACGCCUGCAGGAGCGACAAUGGCUGCAGGAACAGCUGCAGGGACGGCAGUGGCAGCAGGAACGGCUGCAGGGACGGCAGUGGCAGCAGGAACGACUGCAGGAACGGCUGCAGGGACGGCAGCAGGAACGACUGCAGGGACGGCUGCAGGAACGACUGCAGGGACGGCAGUGGCAGCAGGAACGACGGCAUGGACGGCAGUGGCAGCAGAAACAGCGGCGGUGUCUGCUGUAGUAGCAACGGCGGCAGGAACGGCGGUGUCUGCAGUAGCUGUUCUACUGGCAAGCUCAAUGUCGAGUGCUCUGAGCUCAGCCUGAAAAGCAGUCAGCAUCCAUGGGAAAAUACCCAGAUCCAGAUGAAGAGCCGGGAUUACAACAUUCUCCUCGGGAAUAGAUCUCUGACCUCGUCACGAUAGACUCCUGGCGCGGUUUCAAGGUUCGAUGGCGUGUCUUGUGCCUCGAAGAUGCAAAUCGGGAUAGUGUUGAGGAGUGAAUUCGGCCGCUGCACAUUCGCGAUCUGCAGGACGAACUUGAAAGAUCCUCCGCCGUGAUCACCACCGAGUUUGAUCCACAGUGGACGGACCAGUUCGCAAGCAGUUGACAGAACAGGUCGCUUGGCUUUGCCAGUUCUGAAGCACACAGGGUAUGAUGGCAGGCUGGACACUGCGCACCGUUGGUUAAUGUUUGGCAUAUGCAUUUCGUGCAAAAUACUCUAGAACAGCAUGGUGACGCUCGACGUGCUGCGGCAGAUCAUGCAUUGUACUGUGGCUGCUGCACUGCUGUAGGCAAAUCUUGACAUGGUCAAAUUGUACUCUGCUUCAUAAUCAGGUGCAGAUAUGUCAUGCACCUCACUUUCAGGUAUAUCCAUGCUAUUGCUAGAUGCACAUGCACUGCUACUGCUUGAUGUCAUUUUUGCCGCUCCGCUUGCUGUUUUUAUCUGUUUGCUUGGUCGGCCACCCUUCGAUUUUUCUUGAAACUUGGUGCAGACUCUGCAAUUCACAGGUUCAUGUCUUUUCCAACUAAUUGUUACCCCUUGUCCACAA